ACAAUGAAGAGUUUGAUCCUGGCUCAGGAUGAACGCUAGCUACAGGCCUAACACAUGCAAGUCGAGGGGCAGCAUUAUUUGUAGCAAUACAGAUAGAUGGCGACCGGCGCACGGGUGAGUAACGCGUAUCCUACCUUCCCCUGUCUCGGGUAUAGCCUUCCGAAAGGGAGAUUAAUCCCCGAUGGCGUCAAGAAGCCGCAUGGCAUCCUGACUAAAGCGUAAGCGGACAGGGCUGGGGGUGCGUCCCAUUAGGUAGUUGGCGGGGUAACGGCCCACCAAGCCAACGAUGGGUAGGGGUUCUGAGAGGAAGGCCCCCCACAUUGGAACUGAGACACGGUCCAAACUCCUACGGGAGGCAGCAGUGAGGAAUAUUGGUCAAUGGCCGAGAGGCUGAACCAGCCAAGUAGCGUGGAGGAUGACUGCCCUACGGGUUGUAAACUCCUUUUAUAAGGGGGUAAAGGCGUCUACGUGUAGAUGUUUGCAAGUACCUUAUGAAUAAGCAUCGGCUAACU
rnacentral:rRNA from 1 species